rnacentral:rRNA from 1 species
UACGUAGGGGGGCAAGCGUUGUCCGGAUUUAUUGGGCGUAAAGAGCGUGUAGGCGGCCAUGUAGGUCCGUUGUGAAAACUCGAGGCUCAACCUCGAGAUGUCGGCGGAAACCACUUGGCUAGAGUCCGGAAGAGGAGAGUGGAAUUCCUGGUGUAGCGGUGAAAUGCGCAGAUAUCAGGAAGAACACCUAUGGCGAAGGCAGCUCUCUGGGACGGUACUGACGCUGAGACGCGAAAAGCGUGGGGAGCGAACAGG